rnacentral:rRNA from 1 species
CAGCCGCCACGGUAAAACGGAGGGUGCAAGCGUUAAUCGGAAUUACUGGGCGUAAAGCGCACGCAGGCGGUUUGUUAAGUCAGAUGUGAAAUCCCCGAGCUUAACUUGGGAACUGCAUUUGAAACUGGCAAGCUAGAGUCUUGUAGAGGGGGGUAGAAUUCCAGGUGUAGCGGUGAAAUGCGUAGAGAUCUGGAGGAAUACCGGUGGCGAAGGCGGCCCCCUGGACAAAGACUGACGCUCAGGUGCGAAAGCGUGGGGAGCAAACAGGAUUAGAUACCCCAGUAGUCCCUGUCUCUUAUAC